rnacentral:lncRNA from 1 species
UCUGAAACCUCUCCAACCACACAUACAUUGGAACCACCUGCUGAUCAAGGCCAUCCACAUUUCCUUCCUCUUCGUUUGUUUGUGGACCAUUAUUUCCCGAGUGCCCCUGCUCAGGAAUUUCUGGCGGCGGCUGCUGCAUUGCCUGUACCACCUGUGCCACCAACUGAGGUAAAGCCUGGUUCACUGCCUGAUUCACCAAGUUAACCAGUUGAGCAUUUAUCUGAUCAUUAGGUUGCUCAUUGGGCUGAACAUCACCCCUUCCCCUAUUGUUACCUCUCCUCCCAGCAACUCUAGCGGAUCGACGAGCCAUCUAAGAAAGAGAUCAAUGAAUAUAAACAGGACAGAUUAAAACAGAUUCGAAUAUAGCUGAACAAAAAAAUCAAACUGAACAAAAACCUAACCCAGAAGUCUACCCAUAACUCACAGAUCAACCUAAAUAGGUUUUCUACAAGAAAGAACCUGGCUUUGAUACCAACUCUGUAACACCCCCUUCCCAAAAUAGAAAGAGAGGUUACUCAAAACACAACAAGACUGAAUGAAAGCUUUAUGUCAUAAAAGGAUGGGCUCAUAAUAAUUAAAUAUCACAAGACAAACUAUAGUAAAUAUCCCACUAGCUCAAACCAUA